rnacentral:rRNA from 1 species
AUUGAACGCUGGCGGCAUGCCUUACACAUGCAAGUCGAACGGUAACAGGUCUUCGGAUGCUGACGAGUGGCGAACGGGUGAGUAAUACAUCGGAACGUGCCCGAUCGUGGGGGAUAACGAAGCGAAAGCUUUGCUAAUACCGCAUACGAUCUACGGAUGAAAGCAGGGGACCGCAAGGCCUUGCGCGAACGGAGCGGCCGAUGGCAGAUUAGGUAGUUGGUGGGAUAAAAGCUCACCAAGCCGACGAUCUGUAGCUGGUCUGAGAGGACGACCAGCCACACUGGGACUGAGACACGGCCCAGACUCCUACGGGAGGCAGCAGUGGGGAAUUUUGGACAAUGGGCGAAAGCCUGAUCCAGCCAUGCCGCGUGCAGGAUGAAGGCCUUCGGGUUGUAAACUGCUUUUGUACGGAACGAAAAGACUCUGGUUAAUACCUGGGGUCUAUGACGGUACCGUAAGAAUAAGCACCGGCUAACUACGUGCCAGCCGCCGCCGUAACAC